rnacentral:rRNA from 1 species
GGCUGAAAUUACGCCUUCAUGAAGCUGGAAUUGCUAGUAAUGGCAGGUCAGCAUACUGCCGUGAAUACGUUCCCGGGCCCUUGUACACACCGCCCGUCACACCAUGAGAGUUGGGAAUACCCGAAGCCUGUGAGCUAACUUAUAGAGGCAGCAGUCGAAGGUAGAAUCAAUGAUUGGGGUGAAGUCGUAACAAGGUACC